CCCUUAGAUGUUCUGGGCCGCACGCGCGCUACACUGACGAAGUCAGCGAGCAUGUCCUACGCCGACAGGUGCGGGGAAUCUUGUCAAACUUCGUCGUGAUGGGGAUUGAUUAUUGAAAUUCUUGAUCAUCAACGAGGAAUUCCUAGUAAGCGCAAGUCAGCAGCUUGCGUUGAUUACGUCCCUGCCCUUUGUACACACCGCCCGUCGCUACUACCGAUGGGUGAUCCGGUGAAUGAUUCGGACUUCAGCGGCUCCCCUGGGGUGCGCCGGAGAAAGUUUUGUGAACCUUAUCACUUGGAGGAAGGAGAAGUCGUAACA
rnacentral:rRNA from 1 species